UACGAAGGGGGCUAGCGUUGCUCGGAAUUACUGGGCGUAAAGCGCACGUAGGCGGAUCUUUAAGUCAGGGGUGAAAUCCUGGAGCUCAACUCCAGAACUGCCUUUGAUACUGAAGAUCUUGAGUUCGGGAGAGGUGAGUGGAACUGCGAGUGUAGAGGUGAAAUUCGUAGAUAUUCGCAAGGACACCAGUGGCGAAGGCGGCUCACUGGCCCGAUACUGACGCUGAGGCACGAAAGCGUGGGGAGCGAACAGG
rnacentral:rRNA from 1 species